ACGAACGCUGGCGGCAUGCCUAACACAUGCAAGUCGAACGAAUUUAAGAGGGCUUGCUCUCUUAAGUUAGUGGCAUACGGGUGAGUAACACGUGGGAAUCUACCCUAUAGUAUGGAAUAACAAUUGGAAACGAUUGCUAAUACCGUAUAAUCUCUACGGAGCAAAGAUUUAUCGCUAUAGGAAGAGCCCGCGCUAGAUUAGGUUGUUGGUGGGGUAAUGGCCUACCAAGCCUACGAUCUAUAGCUGGUCUGAGAGGACGACCAGCCACACUGGGACUGAGACACGGCCCAGACUCCUACGGGAGGCAGCAGUGGGGAAUAUUGGACAAUGGGCGAAAGCCUGAUCCAGCAAUGCCGCGUGAGUGAUGAAGGCCUUAGGGUUGUAAAGCUCUUUUAGUAGGGAAGAUAAUGACGGUACCUACAGAAAAAGCACCGGCUAACUUCGU
rnacentral:rRNA from 1 species